rnacentral:rRNA from 1 species
AUUGAACGCUGGCGGCAGGCCUAACACAUGCAAGUCGAACGGAACCUUCGGGUUUAGUGGCGAACGGGUGAGUAAUGCCUAGGAAUCUGCCUAUUAGUGGGGGAUAACGAAUCGAAAGGUUCGCUAAUACCGCAUACGUCCUACGGGAGAAAGAGGGGGAUCUUCGGACCUCUUGCUAAUAGAUGAGCCUAGGUCGGAUUAGCUAGUUGGUGAGGUAAAGGCUCACCAAGGCGACGAUCUGUAGCGGGUCUGAGAGGAUGAUCCGCCACACUGGAACUGAGACACGGUCCAGACUCCUACGGGAGGCAGCAGUGGGGAAUUUUCCACAAUGGGCGAAAGCCUGAUGGAGCAACGCCGCGUGUGUGAUGAAGGUCUUCGGAUCGUAAAACCCUGUCGUCGGGGACGAAGGUAGGAGGGUUAAUAGCCCUUUUGCUUGACGGUACCCGGAGAGGAAGCCCCGGCUAACUCUGUG